UACGGAGGGUGCGAGCGUUGUCCGGAAUCACUGGGCGUAAAGGGCGCGUAGGUGGCGCGGGCAGUCAACGGUGAAAGUUCGGGGCUCAACCCUGAAUCGGCCGUCGAUACUCCCGGGCUUGAGCACUGUAGAGGCAGAUGGAAUUCCGGGUGUAGCGGUGGAAUGCGUAGAGAUCCGGAAGAACACCGGUGGCGAAGGCGGUCUGCUGGGCAGUAGCUGACACUGAGGCGCGAAAGCGUGGGGAGCAAACAGG
rnacentral:rRNA from 1 species